UGUCAGAUAUGACAAUGGAAUAUAUACAUUCAAAUUAAAUUAAAUUUCUUUCGUAGUGUUUGAAAUAAAAUUAAAUACUGGUAUAAAAUAAACAGGAUUAGACAGUAAAUCUUGAACGCGGCGGGGAACACUUAACGAGUUCUCUUCUGCAACAUCACUAAUGACACUGACAAGUAACAGCCUUUGCAUGGCAAACGAUACACAAUCAAACAUAACGUGUUUUAUAUCUGCAUUUUCUUUAAAACAAUAAGUACACUUAUCAUCAGUAAUAAUAUUCUUCCUCUUGAGAUGUGCUGGGACCAAACAAUGACCAAAACGUAGACGGUUUAUGCACGUUAUGAAUUUCCUGCUGGUAUAUUUAAAGCCAUAAUACCACGGUGUUGUUGGCAAAGAACCUGUAAUGAGAGUAUUAGCCGAGAUGAUAGCUGACUGAGCAAUUUCUACUGGGUAUAGAACUUUAUCUAAGACAACAUGGUUCCCGCAAGACAACUCCUGUAAACAAAAUCUCUCAGCCAGCUGUAAACGACGCAAGGACAAGGGAGGUCGGGCUUCAUAUAUGGAUGGCUUCACAUUUAGAUCAACCAGAGUUGGAUAGUGGUAACUGCCCAUUGGGUCAUCAUGAACUCGCCAUUCACAAAGUGGAGCUAACGUGGGACUUACAAGAGUUAUAUCAAUUGCAGAUGGAUUCCUAUUUGGAUAUUGCACUGUUGUUGGACUACCAUCAUUUGAAAUACAUAAAUCAAAUUCAUCAAUAAUAUUAUAUAAACUAUUGCCUCUACUGUUAUUUGAAUGACAGCCAAAUAAUAUGUGAUGAGCAUUAAAAUCGCCCAUGAUUAGACAUGGCUUGGGGGUUUCAAGCAACACCUUUUUCAUUUUACGAACAUCAAACCUGCUACCAUUGGGUGGGCAAUAAACACAAAGAAUGUAUAAUUUACCAAUUGAUGUUUCUAUAGCCACACAGAUAUUCUGAAUGGAUUCAUAAAAAGUUGUGUUUAUGAUAUUAUAUUGUAAGUUUUGUUUAAUAAGUAUACCUACUCCGUUUUUGGCAUUUUUUGAAAUUUUAUAUACAAAGUUGUAUGGGGCAAAGUUAGGAAUUGUGUUUGUACUUUUAAGCCAUGUUUCAUUUAGUAAACAAAUGUCUAUCUGUUGCUCUGCAAGAAAUGUAUUUAAUAGGGCUUUCUUAUGUAAUAAACUUUGAAUGUUAAACUGUGCUAAAUGUAAAAAAGUGUCCAUGAUUUAAUUUAAUAAAUUAUGUUUGAGUAU